rnacentral:rRNA from 1 species
GCAUAGCUAGGGGAGCUCCUCUUCGGCAGCGGGGGUAGAGGGCGAGGCGGCGGCGGCGGGGGUAGAGGGCGAGGCGGCGGCGGCGGGGGGCGGAAUGGCAUAGAGGGAGGUGGUGGGGGUGCGAAGAGGGGUAGCGGCCUAGGCGAUAGUCUAGCGGUUCCAAUCCGCCGUCUCGAGGUGCAGGCGCUGCGCGAGCACGAGCAGUUCCUUCCCCGAGGGCUAGCUUAGACGCGAGUGCGCCGAACACACGGUACCGGCGGUACCGUAGGUACCGGCUGUUCUCCCCUGGGAGCCGGAGCCGGUACCGGCGGACGAAACCUGUGCCCCAGCGGUGUAGGCUGCGACGGUCGCGGAGCACCUGGCGGUAGUCCUCGAGGUCCAGGCGGCGAUAGCUUGAGAUGCCGGUACCAGUGGUGCAGGUACCAGCUAGUUGACUAGACUAGACUAGUGUUCAAGGUGUCCUUCUUUUAGAUCUUUAAGAACGCGACCUACGUCAUCUGCUUUAACUUACAUGUGCAUGCACCUAGGUUCAGGCUCAACCCUCGCGGUAGCUAGGCUGCUUGCACGUUCCUUAAAGACUUAGGUCCUGAAGAUAAACUCGUAAGAAACACCUGUCCAACUGUUGUCCUCGACUUCAUGCAAACUUGUUUGCAAAAGAAAGUCAAAAGGGUUCUUCUUGUACUCCGACCAUGCUGUCCCCGACCAUGACGUAGAGCAGCCGCCUUCCGCUUUUCUUACCGCCGCCGCCCGUUAUACCCUCUUCUGCCACGGGACGGACUGUUGCCUGAGCUUAAAGAUGACCUAGGCCAACUGUCUCUCCACCAACGCCUGCAACUCCACGGUCUAGGCAACCGCCGCUCCCUGAAUCACCGCUGUCUGUACCGACCGCGGCUAAGGAGUACGCGCCAACACCAACCCGUGGAGCCGCCUCGACGACUCGGGGCCCUAAGACCGCCGUUCUCCUUUGUCAUCAGUUGGGUCAGGCACCUUAGCUGGCCCUUUCACUUGGGCCUCCGCGGGUCCAGCUGGUCUUCCAUUUUUCAUUUUAAUCUCAAGACUUUGAAAGUCUGUCUUACCAAAACUAAAAACGUUCGUGACAGUGUAUGAACACGUACUCGUAUAUACGGACCACGACACUAAUGAGCAAAGUCGACCCAUAGGAGCACUAAAAAGACCAGUAUGAUUACGCUUAACCACAAAGUAUAUAUGCUGAUCGGUUCUUCAAAAAUCUACCUAGUACAGUAUCUACAUGAUCGGUUCUAACAAAAAUCUACCUCACUGCUCACCGUGGACGUCAAGAUUUCCUUUACAAUCCCAUUCUUCCAAAUUAAGUCGUGCGUUUUGUGUAUUGGUAACAUGCUGGUCUGUCAACACCGUGUUGUCUUUUGAUAUCGAUGUUGAAAAGAUAAAUUAAUUUAAAAAUCAACUGCUAUCAUAAUAGAUAAAAUAUUAAAAAUUACAAUAUUCUGAGGUUAGGUUACGUCUCGAAUACGGGCAGUAACCGAACAGAGGGGACCCGACACGUAGGUCGAGGUCGCCCAAGUCGUGCUGACUCCGUCGUCACCCUUCCUUCUAAUAAGCCAUCCUACCGCGACUGUUGUAUAGCCUCUACGCGGUUCGGAACGACGCUGGAUCGAAAGAACACGAACGAGAGGAAGGGGUUGUUGUCUGGUAGUACCGGGAGGGAAAACAACAAGUAGUUACCCCCAGUACAAGUGUAGUCUUGGAAGUAGUCGUGUUAGAAGUACUUAAAAGGUAUAAACAGUAUAGAGAGACUAACAGGUUACGUCUAGUACAACAAUUUUUCACUUUGAAGACCCAACUAAAGUCCAAAUUCCGCAUUUCUGAAAAAAUCCAAGACAAGCACGACCUUUUAAAUACAAGUAACAGCGUGGUUAGUACAACCUUGGCUUAAAUAAAAGUAACAAAGUCAGGUUAAGUAGGAAUCUCCCUUUCACACCCGGAACUUGACUUCCUCUCCGUUUAUACAAAGACAAGUAUCAAUUUAACCAAGAACUAAACUUCUCUAAUAUCUCGGUGCAUUAAAACAUGGGCUCGUGACGGUUGACAGCUGCUAAACAUAACACACAACAAAAUGUCAUGGAUGAACGGUUAUAAUAACACAACAAAGAGGAUUGUUAACAUCUGUACUUAUGUAAAAACUGCUCCACUUCUGUUGUCUCUAACCUCCAUACGCGACCCGAGAAACUGUGUUCGAUCCCUCCUCAUUCGACUGACCUAUUACUCUUUACAACUUCAUCAGGUUCCUCCUUACUGUGACCGACACACACACUACUGGAAUUGAGACUUUUUACUCAAAAAGAAAGAAAGAUUUUAGAUCUCACCUAAUUAAGAUGUUCAUAGGACUCAAAUACUAUACGAAACGUGUAGGUGUAUGCACUGUCGACGUUCAAAUUGGACGAGACUUUAGAGUCUCAAACAAUCUUCUUUGAUAUAACAACUACACCGAGAAAGUGUCAAAAGUAAAGAUUAUUUUACACUUCCACGUUGAUAGGACUUCUUACUAAUACAUUUUUCUUUCAACAUAGUCGUAGCUUCACUUCUUGACCACGCCGUCUCGCGUGGAAAGGAAGAACAUUACUAUGGUACAGGUCACUUACGUUGUGGAUUUUGCAGACGUAUAUUUUAACGUCAAGCACCGGCACGUGGAGAACUAUGUCGUGGAACAGGACCAUCUCAGUCAGGCGACCUUCUUUACUAGUCCUCCAUACGACUAUUCGGGUAGGCUAUUACAUCCUUCGGU